rnacentral:rRNA from 1 species
UACGUAGGUGGCAAGCGUUAUCCGGAUUUAUUGGGCGUAAAGAGAACGCAGGCGGUCUUUUAAGUCUGAUGUGAAAGCCUCCGGCUUAACCGGAGUAGUGCAUUGGAAACUGGGAGACUUGAGUGCAGAAGAGGAGAGUGGAACUCCAUGUGUAGCGGUGAAAUGCGUAGAUAUAUGGAAGAACACCAGUGGCGAAAGCGGCUCUCUGGUCUGUAACUGACGCUGAGGUUCGAAAGCGUGGGUAGCAAACAGG